rnacentral:rRNA from 1 species
AUGCCAGCUCCCUCUCUCUUGCGGCGCGCCGCCCCGGCGCCCGCAGCCACCUCCGUCGCAGCCUUGCUCGCCGUCAGCCCCUCUCCUCCAUCCUCGUCCUCGCCGCGGUUUCCCCCAGGCUUCCCCUUGCCUCGGUUCUCGCAGGCCGCGCUGGCGGCGUCCCUUUUCCCGCAGUUGGCUAGGACUGCUCCAGAUCUGCCCGCCUCAGAUCCUCCGACCUUGGCCAGUGCCCGGCUGCUCAAAUCCGGCGUGGCUUCCGGUGAUAUGUUCGUGCCUACUCGUAUGGUGCCUUCCAACAGCGGCCGGCUCCAUGCCUCGCCAUCCUCUUCGGUCGGGGACCCGUCGCUGCUGCCGGAGGAAGACAGCGUCAUCGUCGUCACCACCCCGGAGAUGGAGGCCAACGCGACUAGCCUGGCUGGUCUAGGCGCGCUGAUCUGGCUUGGUGGGAACCGGCCGGAUGUGAAUGCUGCUAAUAUCCAAGAUUUCUUCGCCCUGUUCGACUACCAACACCAGCGUGAUAGAGUCACGGCAUCCCCUGGGCGCUUCAGGCAUGCCGGCCUCGACAUCCAUGCUGCAAACUGGAGGUUCGACGCACACGGUGAUGUGGUCCGCAGCAACUACCACGUCCACCUCUGCAUCGAGAACAUCCCGCUGAAUGCGUGGUGUGACUACGUGGCGGCCCAGGUGCUCGGGCCCAACACCUUCGUUCACUACUUCGACAUUGCGACGCUGCGCCAGGAAGAUGCCUCCUGCCUCAAGCUUUGGGCGUGGUCGGAGAACCCUUCCGCCAUCCGGAAGGUGCAGCAGGUCACCUUUGCCCCUCGCGUGGCCACGAGCGUUGGUGGAGCGCCAUCGUCGGCUAUUGGGCAUGGUGGCAUCAAGAAGCGGGUGCUAAUCCACCUCACCCAUCUUGAAGACUACACUCCUGAUGCCUCCAGCCAAGUCCCUCGUCGGCCACGGUCGGAUCCCUUCGACUGGCGAAAGGGAGUGGUCAAUGGCGAGGACCGCGUCCGCGAUCAGCGGGAACCUGCGCCAUGCCGCGGCGACGAGGAAGACAGGAGCAGGCGUCGUGGGGAUGAUGAUGAAGAUAGGGAAAAAGAAGACCGCCGCGGUCGCCAAGACGACAGGCAGGGAUCCUCCGAGCGCAUCUUCCGAAGCUGCUCGCGUGCUCCUACGCGUCACCCUGAUGAGGGCUCCCGCUGUGGCGACAGGGGGGCCGUGACGAUCGCCGAGAUGAUCGUAGAGAUGGGCACCGAAACAAAACUCCAGUCCGUCGACCCCUUCAUAGCUGCUUAUCUUGGUGGACAGCGCCUAAUUGUUUUUGCUCAGAGACCUGUGGAUGGCAUGAACGGAUGGAUUUUAGUGCUCUGGGAUGACAAUGCAGUCUCCAUUUCUAAUGCUCAAAUUGGUGAUUACUUCCUCUCUGCUACUGUUGACAUCAAGAAUUCCGCUGAUGAUAAAUCUUUCAAGUUGACCACGGUGUAUGGUCCAACAAGAGACCACUGUCCUCUCUUGCUGGCUAAUGAUGCUGGACCCAAAAAACGCAAAUCCUUCCGCUUUGAAAAUUACUGGAUUAGGAUGCCGGGAUUCCAAAAAGUUGUUAGUGAUGCUUGGACGGAGAAUUCACCCCACGUUGAGCCAUUCCAGAGGCUAUUCCAUAAGCUAAAAAGAGCAAGCCAAAGACUUCGCACUUGGAGCAAGACCCACUUUGCAAAUUCCAAGGUCCAACUUCACAUGGCACUUGAUGUCAUUCUCCACCUUGACAUGGCUCAAGAGCAGAGAGAGCUAAGCCCGGAGGAUAAGGACCUCCGUAAAAGGCUGGAAAGGAAGAUCAUUGGGUUGGCGGUGCUUGAAAAGACUAGAAAGCAUCAAAACUCAAGAAUUACAAAUCUCAAUGAAGGAGAUGCCAACACCCACUAUUUCCACCUCCACGUCAAUCAUCGUAGGCGAAAGAACUUCAUCCACCGCCUCAAGCACAAUCAUGGAUGGGUCACAGCGCACGAUGAUAAAGAAAAUAUUGUCCAUAAUCACUUCAAGAAUAUCGCCAAAAAAGGCCCCUCAUGUUCGAUUGAUAUCAACUGGGCAAUCCUCCCUACACCCACAUGUGACUUACAUGAAUUGGAUGAACCCUUUACCGAGGAGGAGGCGAAGAUGGCGGUUUACGCGAUGCCGGGUGAUAAGGCGCCGGGGCCGUACGGAUUCACGAGAGCUUUUUUCAAGGCAUGUUGGAACACGGUCAAAGCAGAUACGAUGAAUGCCAUCAACCACUUUUCAGAUUUGCACUCAAUGAUUUCAUUGGUUGAACACCGCUGA